GAAACAGGGUUAUGUUUAUAAUCCUUGUGCUUAUCAUAGUUACUGCAGUCAUUGCAAUUUUCAUUUCAGUCAUCAGACGUAGAGGGUGUCAGAAAGGAAACAAAGACAUGGACAAUACAAUAUAUGCAUGUCCUGUGGUAGAGGAUUCUCUUGACAGACGAAAUGAAACAGUUAAAGAUGAAGAUUGUUCCCCAACUACAACCUACAGCACAGUGGGAGCUUCAAGUAAGGAAUCCACUAAGAGUAGAGUCAAAGACCAACCAGAGACUGUGUAUGCACAGGUAAACAAGCUGUCCAGAUGACUCAACUUUAAAAAGAACUGGAAUAUCUGUGUGGACUCCAACUGCUUGUGUUUGCAGUAGCAGUACAUUCUGGACUGCUUUA